rnacentral:rRNA from 1 species
GAUGAACGCUAGCUACAGGCUUAACACAUGCAAGUCGAGGGGCAGCGGGAUUGAAGCUUGCUUCAAUUGCCGGCGACCGGCGCACGGGUGAGUAACGCGUAUCCAACCUUCCGUACACUCAGGGAUAGCCUUUCGAAAGAAAGAUUAAUACCUGAUGGUAUCUUAAGCACACAUGUAAUUAAGAUUAAAGAUUUAUCGGUGUACGAUGGGGAUGCGUUCCAUUAGGUAGUAGGCGGGGUAACGGCCCACCAAGCCUUCGAUGGAUAGGGGUUCUGAGGGGAAGGUCCCCCACAUUGGAACUGAGACACGGUCCAA